rnacentral:lncRNA from 1 species
GUCCUUUGAUAAAUCAUAGUUCAGGAAAUUCCUAAUUAUUCAGUAUCCUCCAUUAUCGGCUAAGCAACUGAAUUUAGCCUGCUAAACCAGCAUGACAAUGGCGGGUUGAAUAAUCAAGAAGAUCCCAGUUCAUUCUAGGUUCUAAAUAUCACUGAGCAACACAUGCUUCAAUGACGGUCUGAACUUCGAAUUAAUUUGUAAAGCUGAUAUUUUUAAUAUCUUGAGGAUUGGAAAGAAUGGAUCAGAAUACUU